GGAAUCCUCCUGCCUCAGUCUCCAGAGUCACUGGGAUUACAGCAAUAACACAGUGCAAGUCAGACAUCUCUGGAAUGGAACCCUACUUCCAGCUUGUGGCCCAGAGCUCUUCCUCAGUGAAAUGGGAUACCUUGCAAGGGAGGCUCUCUUCUGCUCAGUCUAUAACUGCAGGCUGUGGAACUGGGUCUUUCUGUAUCUCAGUAGUGGACUCAAAGGAAAUARUGAGAGUAUUGGGGCUGCAGAGGCAAAGGAGAGCACACACUGUCCAUGAAUGCUCUGUGCCAGCUGGAGGUUCUGCCAGCAAGAGGGCCAUCACCAAGCUUGAAGCACCCACCCAGCCUCACACUUUUGCUUAAAACAGUGAAAAGGAAAGCAAAUUUACAAGCUCCAAUAUUUUUGUUUGGUGCCUAUUUGCAGCCUGUUGUCAUGUAUCAAUCACUUCUCUGCUCAUUUAUUUAUUCCUAUCACAUGUUAUUAGGUCAACUUAAGACUGUGAUGUGAUUCUAUUGUAAAUAAUGCAUUUAACAAUAAUCUCUUCAUGUAUCAGUUAAAAAUAAACACAGAA